rnacentral:misc_RNA from 2 species
AACGCACAUUGCGCCUCCGGGUAUUCCUGGAGGCAUGCUUGUUCGAGCGUCGUUAAAGACCAUAAGGCUUUGCCUUGCGAUGAGCUGUCGAAAAGAUUCCCCUUUGGGGGACCUAUCGACAGCUUCAAACUGAUUGGCGUCUGAAGUUUAGCCCAAGCACAGCAAAAUGUGUCCUGAAAGUUGAACGAUAAAAGACUUUGCCUUGUACACCAAAUUAUUUUAAAGGUCGACCUCGGAUCAAGCAAGAUUACCCGCUGAACUUAA